GGGUUAUAUACGUGGCCUAGGAGCAGGUCCGAAACCCAAAACAUUUAAAGCUGGACAAUGCAGUCAUGCAACAGUUGAGGAGGCUAAAAGAAGGGCAGAUGAGGCAACUAAAAGGGCUGAUGAUGCAGAGAAACAAUGUAUGCUUCUAGCAAAUGAGUUAACAGAAAUGAAGGAGAAUUCUGCUGCACAAAAGUAUCAGUUAGCAGGUUUACAGGCAAGGCAAAAUGAGACGGAUGAACUAGUAAAAAGAUUGCUGCAGCAGUUAUCCUCGACUUCGUCAUCAAUGAGAUCUGAUGGAUAAAGGGUAGAAGACAAUCUACUAGUGAUGAAUCUUAUGUUAUUUGUUUUUGGGAAUCACUUGACAUUUAUGUUGAACUUAAAUAUCUAGUAUUUUGUUUUUGAGACAUCUUGUGAAUUUGUUGGAAGAAUGUUAGAUAUAUGGAUUGCUUUUGAA